GGUUAAGCGACUAAGCGUACACGGUGGAUGCCCUGGCAGUCAGAGGCGAUGAAGGACGUGCUAAUCUGCGAUAAGCGUCGGUAAGGUGAUAUGAACCGUUAUAACCGGCGAUUUCCGAAUGGGGAAACCCAGUGUGAUUCGUCACACUAUCAUUACGUGAAUACAUAGCGUAAUGAAGCGAACCGGGGGAACUGAAACAUCUAAGUACCCCGAGGAAAAGAAAUCAACCGAGAUUCCCCCAGUAGCGGCGAGCGAACGGGGAGCAGCCCAGAGUCUGAAUCAGCUUGUGUGUUAGUGGAACGGUCUGGAAAGUCCGACGGUACAGGGUGAUAGUCCCGUACACCAAAAUGCACAGGUUGUGAACUCGAAGAGUAGGGCGGGACACGUGGUAUCCUGUCUGAAUAUGGGGGGACCAUCCUCCAAGGCUAAAUACUCCUGACUGACCGAUAGUGAACCAGUACCGUGAGGGAAAGGCGAAAAGAACCCCGGCGAGGGGAGUGAAAAAGAACCUGAAACCGUGUACGUACAAGCAGUGGGAGCCUCUUUAUGGGGUGACUGCGUACCUUUUGUAUAAUGGGUCAGCGACUUAUAUUCUGUAGCAAGGUUAACCGUAUAGGGGAGCCGAAGGGAAACCGAGUCUUAACUGGGCGUUAAGUUGCAGGGUAUAGACCCGAAACCCGGUGAUCUAGCCAUGGGCAGGUUGAAGGUUGGGUAACACUAACUGGAGGACCGAACCGACUAAUGUUGAAAAAUUAGCGGAUGACUUGUGGCUGGGGGUGAAAGGCCAAUCAAACCGGGAGAUAGCUGGUUCUCCCCGAAAGCUAUUUAGGUAGCGCCUCGUGAAUUCAUCUUCGGGGGUAGAGCACUGUUUCGGCUAGGGGGUCAUCCCGACUUACCAACCCGAUGCAAACUGCGAAUACCGAAGAAUGUUAUCACGGGAGACACACGGCGGGUGCUAACGUCCGUCGUGAAGAGGGAAACAACCCAGACCGCCAGCUAAGGUCCCAAAGUCAUGGUUAAGUGGGAAACGAUGUGGGAAGGCACAGACAGCCAGGAUGUUGGCUUAGAAGCAGCCAUCAUUUAAAGAAAGCGUAAUAGCUCACUGGUCGAGUCGGCCUGCGCGGAAGAUGUAACGGGGCUAAACCAUGCACCGAAGCUGCGGCAGCGACACUAUGUGUUGUUGGGUAGGGGAGCGUUCUGUAAGCCGUUGAAGGUGUAUCGUGAGGUAUGCUGGAGGUAUCAGAAGUGCGAAUGCUGACAUAAGUAACGAUAAUGCGGGUGAAAAACCCGCACGCCGGAAGACCAAGGGUUCCUGUCCAACGUUAAUCGGGGCAGGGUGAGUCGACCCCUAAGGCGAGGCCGAAAGGCGUAGUCGAUGGGAAACAGGUUAAUAUUCCUGUACUUGGUGUUACUGCGAAGGGGGGACGGAGAAGGCUAUGUUAGCCGGGCGACGGUUGUCCCGGUUUAAGCAUGUAGGCGGAGGUUCCAGGUAAAUCCGGUACCUUUUUAACGCUGAGGUGUGAUGACGAGGCACUACGGUGCUGAAGUAACAAAUGCCCUGCUUCCAGGAAAAGCCUCUAAGCAUCAGGUAACACGAAAUCGUACCCCAAACCGACACAGGUGGUCAGGUAGAGAAUACCAAGGCGCUUGAGAGAACUCGGGUGAAGGAACUAGGCAAAAUGGUGCCGUAACUU
rnacentral:rRNA from 1 species